GGGUACCUUGUUACGACUUCUCCCUCGUUGCUGACCUCAGGUUCGAUAAUGCCAAAUCGCACCACCUCGCCUAAAAACCAACUUCGAUGAAGCGACGGGCGGUGUGUGCAAGGAG
rnacentral:rRNA from 1 species